rnacentral:rRNA from 1 species
UCGGGAGUAACAACCUGGAAACAGAUGCUAAUACCGGGUAACGAACAGAUGAUGCCUAUCAACUGUUUAAAAGAUGGUUCUGCUAUCACUCUUGGAUGGACCUGCGGUGCAUUAGCUAGUUGGUAGGGUAACGGCCUACCAAGGCGAUGAUGCAUAGCCGAGUUGAGAGACUGAUCGGCCACAUUGGGACUGAGACACGGCCCAAACUCCUACGGGAGGCAGCAGCC